AAUAGAUACCCGGGUAGUCCACGCCGUAAACGUUGGGCGCUAGAUGUGGGGACCAUUCCACGGUUUCCGUGUCGCAGCUAACGCAUUAAGCGCCCCGCCUGGGGAGUACGGCCGCAAGGCUAAAACUCAAAGGAAUUGACGGGGGCCCGCACAAGCGGCGGAGCAUGCGGAUUAAUUCGAUGCAGCGCGAAGAACCUUACCAAGGCUUGACAUAUACGAGAACGCUCUAGAAAUAGGGAACUCUUUGGACACUCGUAUACAGGUGGUGCAUGGUUGUCGUCAGCUCGUGUCGUGAGAUGUUGGGUUAAGUCCCGCAACGAGCGCAACCCUCGUUCUAUGUUGCCAGCGGUUCGGCCGGGAACUCAUAGGAGACUGCCGGGGUCAACUCGGAGGAAGGUGGGGAUGACGUCAAAUCAUCAUGCCCCUUAUGUCUUGGGCUUCACGCAUGCUACAAUGGCCGGUACAAAGGGCUGCAAUACCGUAAGGUGGAGCGAAUCCCAAAAAGCCGGUCUCAGUUCGGAUUGAGGUCUGCAACUCGACCU
rnacentral:rRNA from 1 species